AUUAAUAUAUUGUUUAACAUAUUUAAAAUGUAUAUAAGUUGGUAUAUAUAGCGUAAAUUGGAAAAAAAUUGUUUUUUUUAUUUUUGACUGAGUUUAAGUGGUUUAGAUCAGAUUGGACUAAAUGAGCUAAAAGAUUUACUGUUGAACACGGACCCAGCCCACCUAACCACAACCCGGCCCACAACCCAGCUAAAUUUUACGGGCCAAUUCCGGGUUAACCUGGCCCAACCCACUUGACACACGUACCAGAGAUGCUAAUAACAGUCAACAAAAAUAUAAUGAAACUCUCGAAAAAUUUAAUAAAUCAUACAAAAAAACAUCAAAGUGCAACCAGAUCUGUGCAAAACUAAGCAUAAUAAUAAUAAUAAUCAAAAUAUCCAAUUAGCCGGAGAAGAGAGGAGCGGUGACUGAAAGUGGAAGAGGCGAAACUCUCCGAAAUCGGUGGUGGACGAUGGAGGAGGUAUAUUUUGUGAGGGUGGCGCUGGGAUUGCAUUUUCGUGGCCGUUUUGGCGGUGGUGGUGGCUGUUUCGGGCUGGAGCUCGCCAGCCAUCAACUCCGGCGAGCCAGCAGCGGUGGAUGAACAGAUAGAGAGAGGGAGACGCUAGAACGGAGAGGCGGUGUGCGGCUUUCUUGGUGGUCGCCUAAUCUGGGGGUGGCACUGAACAUGGGAAAAAGGGCGUGAGGUGUGAAAGAGAGAAAAGAUGAGAGAGAAUGAGGUACGACUGGUGAGGAAGAGGAGAAAAGCGUGGGUUUGUGUGUGUUAAAAAAUGUGUGGGUCA
rnacentral:lncRNA from 1 species